GGUACAUCAGCGGCAGACGGGUGAGUAACACGUAGGUGAUCUACCCCAGAGAGGGGGAUAACGGGUGGAAACAUCCGCUAAUACCGGAUAGGCUUGUUCGGUCAAAGGGACAAGGAAAGGCUCCGGCGCUCUGGGAGGAGCCUGCGGCCCAUCAGCUAGUUGGCGGUGUAACGGCCCACCAAGGCAAAGACGGGUAGGGGGUGUGAGAGCAUGGCCCCCCACAAUGGGACUGGAACACGGCCCAUACUCCUACGGGAGGCAGCAGCAGGGAAUAUUGCACAAUGGACGGAAGUCUGAUGCAGCGACGCCGCGUGGAUGAAGAAGGCCCUCGGGUUGUGGGGUCCUUUACAGGGGGCAGAGGAAGGACGGUACCCCUGGGAACGAGUGUCGGCUAGCUACGUGCCAGCGGGCGCGGUAAGACGUAGGAGCGCGGGCGUUGUCCGGAUUUGCUGGGCGGUGAGCGUCUGCGGGCGGACGGGUGGGUUGGGCGUGAGGGCUCCGGGGCGCCGGGCCGGGAGAGGUCGUGCGGUACUGCGUGUCUCGAGGGUGUCAGAGGGGAGUGGAGGUGCCGGAGUAGCGGUAGCAUGCGCCGAGAUCGGAGGGAGCACCAAUGGCGAGGGCAGCUCCCUGGG
rnacentral:rRNA from 1 species